GGUUUUGGAGCGAUGGAGACCAAACUUCCGAUCAAAAGUUGACUCCAUUACACAUGCUUCAGUUUGGAUGCGCCUUCUGGACUCGCCGGUGGAGCUUUGGGACAGACGGAUGCUAUCGAAGAUUGCUUCUGUUGCUGGAACUCCGCUUUACAUUGAUACAUGGAUAGAGAAGGUCGUUAGGAGAGGUUUUGCGAAAGCCUGUGUUC
rnacentral:lncRNA from 1 species